GGUCGCCAAUCACUGGUCAGCUUCUCCAAACACGUCAUUCUGUUUGCGCUUCAUGUUCUCAAAGUCAAAAGCGGAGCCUGCCAUGCGCUUGUAGAUGUCUUUGAUGUCAUUGCAGGUUGUCUCGAAGUGUGUGGUGGCAUCAUAGGAGCAGGAACAGAACACCUGGAAACAUCCAGAGCCCAGGGCCAAGCCUCAGCCUCGGCCCCAGCCCCUCACUUCUGGUCAAUGGGCUCCAGGAGCUCCAGGGCAGGCUCAACCUCCUUCUCCGGCUCAGCUGUCUCCACUGUGGUGCUGGCAAUGGCGAUGUACUUGCCCUGUGCAGCCACGUUGUGUGCGUAGGAGAUCAUGCACACGUAGAUGUCUGCCCACAAGAAGGGUCUCCGUUAACAUGGGCACAGGGCUCCUGGAGGCUGGACUCGAUUCAGGUGUGCGGGCCCACUCCUCCCCAGCCCUGCCCAGCAAGCAGCAUCCAAACCCACCCUCACAGAGGAGGAGAGUCCAAGCCACCUAAUCACUAAGGCCCCAAGCCGUGGGGACUGCUACGCAGGUCCCCGUCCUUCCAUGCAGGGAUUAGGCAGUCCCAAGAGUGACAGAGAAAGGCAAAGCCACUCUCAAGAGAGAACACACUGGAAGAAGUCACGUGAGACUCAACUACCUGACUUCCUGUUAACUUGGUUCUGGGGGAUAAUGAUUUGGCAGGAGUUGGCAUCAUUGGUGUUCUUGAUGGGGUGGCUGAGGAUACAGAUGAUGCGGAUAACCUGACCGGCCUUCCGCACUCGGUCCGGAAUGUAGCUGGGGUCACAGAUCAGCUGCUUGCAGCGGGCCACCUGUGAAGACACCAGCGGGCCCAUCCAAGCACUCCCCUGGGUGGUUGUGGGGCUGAGUGCACAGUGAGGGCCGGCACUAUGCUCCUCUGAGCUGUCACCACUGACUCUCCUGUAGUGUUCCGCUUCAUCCUGUACCUCAGGGAGCUGGCUCCCCUAUGCAGGGCUGGGAAAACCCUUCUGCUGAGACACUGUGAUCAAGAACACUCCCUGGUCCCUGACGCGGCACGUGGGUUUGAGAUACCUCUCGCCAACAGAAUUAGCUACGUGGACUUCUUUUGGAGCUCUGGUCCCCAGCCCAAGGCUCUUGGACCUGAUUAGCAGCAGGCCCAGCAGGGCCAGAGUCACUCACUGGGCAAAGUGCCCUGAAAGCGGCCAAGCCCCACCCAGACCAUGAUGCUUGCACUGUGGCGACGACGUACCUCUCCCUCAGACUUCACACCCACCACCUUGCCAUUCUCCAUGAUGAUGUCAUCCACAGGUUUGUUCAGCAUGUAUGUCCCUCCGUAGAUGGCACUCAAUCUGUGGUGGGGAGAACGACCAAAGAAUCCCCUUUCCAGGAGGAAACAGGGACUAGUGCCACUGUGCGCUCCCUCCACCAGCAGUGGGGUACAGAGAAGGCUGCCCUAGGCAGGCAGAGCUCAGGAGACCUGGUGGUUCUUCCCAGCUCUGUCACUGCCACAGACUCGGGAUUUUAUCUGGAGUACUCCUUCCUCUCUGGAGCUUCCACCUAGAAUAUUCUGCAAAGAGCUAGUAUGAGGGUGGCCUGAAGGUACAGCUAGCUCCUCUGGGGAACAGUCUGGGGAACAGAACAAAGGCCUCUGGAAAAGCCCUCUGACUCCAGGUUCUAAGGCUCCAGGACCAGCCCUGGUGCUGCCUGACUCAGGCUGGAAGCCAAGCAAGCCUGCUGGUGCAGGCCUGCACUUCAACGCCCUGCUGCAGCACACUGCCCCCCACCCUGUCACCCAAGCACGGCAUGAAGUAAAUUAGACCACGCCGGGAAACUACGAAUGCUAGAUGCUCAGGGGGGCCAUUUCCAUUCUUGGCUUUAGUCCUCCUGAGUUCUGUCACCAGAAAGAAACCAAGCCCUCACCUUGCAAAGCCCUGGGGCAGCUCACCAAGGCCGUAGAGUGGGUACAAAUAAGGACUCUUUCCAUACCGAGCCAGGGACUCACUGUACAACUUGAUGCGGUUGAUGGUCUCAAGACAGGGCUGGUCCAGGUAGCUGGGGGGACCGGGUCAAGAGAAGAGGCUCCAGCGGCAGCAAACCCAGCUCACCUCCCCCCAAGCACCAGGCUGACCUCCCCCACCACCCUCUACAGCCUGGGGAAGAUUACGGGUCAAAUAAAUGCAAAGAAGGAACAACAAAAAAA